rnacentral:misc_RNA from 1 species
GAGAAAGUAGUAGCAAGAGGAGAACUUCCUUUUGAUACCACCUUAUCACACAAUUCAGAUGACACAUAAGAAACUAAUGUCCCUCCACUUGACACAGUAGUCAAUCCAUCUUCCCCACCUUCUUUAGGCUCAACUCAAACACCAAAUAGUCCUUUACCAGUUAGAAGAAGCAUAAGGGUGACAACAAGACCUCAAUGGUUGAAUGACUUUGUGGCACAAGUUGAGAAAGAAAAUUUUCCUGCAGUCCCACUUGUUACUGCCUUCUUAGAUCCAACAGGUACUUUUUCAUCCCCACUUCUCUCAUAUCUUCCUUCAAAACCAGAAUAUAAUCAUGAUUGCAUAACAUUUAUGGCAAAUGUAUCUACUGUUCAUGAACCACACAUUACCAUCAAGCUAGGGAGGAUAGUAAUUGGAAUCUUGCUAUGAAAAUUAAAUUGGAGGCUUUAGAGAGAAAUAAUACCUGGGUCCUUACCACCCUUCCCAAAGGCGAAAAGGCAAUUACUUCUAAGUGGGUAUACAGAGUCAAAUAUAGGCCAGAUGGCACUGUAGACAAGUACAAGGCCAAGUUGGUUGCAAAAGGGUAUACUCAAUUGGUUGAAAUUGAUUACCAUGACAACUUUUCACCUGUAGCUAAAUUGGUCACUGUGAGAAUAUUUCUAGCCAUAGCUACAAAAUUUAACUGGCCUAUUCAUCAAUUAGAUAUUAAUAAUGCAUACUUACAUGGCUACUUGGAUGAAGAUGUUUAUAUGCAGCCUCUGGAGGGUUACACAAAAGCUGGUAAAGGACAAGUAUGCAAACUGAUUCGCAGCCUCUAUGGCUUUAAGUAGGUAGGGAGGCAGUGGAAUAAAGAGUUAAUAGGAAAAUUACAAGCAUUUGGGUUUCAUUAGUCAGCUUUUGAUCAUUGCCUGUUUACAAAAGUGUCUGGCUCCACUUUUAUCUCACUAAUUGUCUAUGUAGAUGAUUUGUUAAUUGCAGGAGCAGAUGAAACUCACAUCAAAGAAGUUAAACAAUUCUUAGAUGAGCAAUUCACCAUCAAAGACCUAGAAUAUGCCAGAUAUUUCCUAGGCCUUGAAAUUGCCAGAUUAGAGAAAGGGAUGUUACUGAAUCAAAGGAAAUAUAUCAUGGACAUAAUCAAAGACAUGGGAUUACAAAAUGCAAAAUCAAGUCCAUACCCUGUGCUUAACGGUUUGAAGCUAGAUAAUGAAAAAGGGGAGUUAUUAAAGGAACUAAACAAGUAUAGGAGGCUUGUAAGCAGAUUGCUAUACCCGGGACUUACCAAGCCAGAUCUUUCACACGUAACUCAAAAGUUGAGUCAGUUUAUGCAGGCUCCACGACAAUCGCACUGGGAUGUAGCUAUCCAAGUUCUCAAAUAUUUGAAAGGUUGCCCUUCCAAGAGCUUAUUCUUCCCACAAGACAAUGAUUUGAAGCUCCGAGUAUUCUGUGAUGCAGAUUGGGCAUCUUGCCCUAUGAGCAGAAAAUCUAUUACUAGCUUUUUCCUGCUCAAUGAUUUUGGCAUACAACUUUCUCUUCCUAUCGCCCUUCACUGUGACAACAAGGCAGCAAAGCACAUUGCGGCAAACCUAGUCUUCCUUGAGAGAACGAAGCACCUUGAAAUUGACUGCCAUGUAGUCCGCAAGCAACUAAAUCAGGGUUUCAUUACUACUGUGCAUGUACCAUCUAGACAUCAGCUUGUUGACCUGUUCAUGAAACCCCUCACUUUUGUCUUGUUCAAUGAGCAUCUCUGCAAGAUGGGACUCCAUGAUGUACAUGAGUCUCCAUCUUGAGGGGGGACCUGACUGAUAGCUGGAGCAUAGUAGAUGGGAGAGUUAGAGAAAGCUAGAGCAAAAGGCUGGACUUAAGCUGGAACAAAGGCUGGAUUUAAUUGAUUUAAUGGACUGACAAUUAACUAAGAAGAGAAUAAGAAGGAUAAGCCUCGUAUAAGAAGCCCACCAGCUCAAUUCACCAUAUACUUUCUCAAUAGAAGCAACAAGAAGAAGUUAGAAGAAUUCCAGCUCAUCAUUCACGUUUCUUAGCUCCAGCAAAUUUGUUGUAGAUUACUUUUUUAGAUCCUAUAAAUAUGGUAGGGCAAAAUAGAAAAUUAAUUUGAUUCUAGAUUAUUCUUUGAGAGUGUAUAUAAAGACAUUAAUUCAUUCAAUACAAAGCAGUUAUCUUCUGCUCAAUUUUACAAAUUCUAUAGCUAUUUCUUCACACCCUCAUCCAUGAUAGCCUUCCCCCCUUGCUAACGCAGCAAGAAAGUUUCAAGUUGCUGGAAACAUUGCUCCUGGUCCAACUUUAUGGCUACCAUGAAUUCUUCCAUGUUGGUCAUGUUCCUUUCUACCUGCUUCACUCUCCCUCCUACUUUCCUGCACUUCAAACUAAUUGAUAGAGUUAGGAACAAAUAUAUAGAGCAAACAAAAGUGGGAUGAAGAUUUGUGUUGAAUUGAAAUAUCAAAUAACUCAAUACAAUUAGUUUUUCAGUACUUUCUCCAUUACUCAAACUUGACAGUCAAAAUAGAUCCAAUAACUGGAAAACAACAGAGGAGAAGAAGAAAAAUCUAAACAAGACAACCAGGAGAUGAAUUCUGCCGAACCAGUCAAAUGUUAGUCCCAUCUGCUGCUGCAAUCCAGAGAAUUCUAAAGCUGUCUCCUCCCCAAUAGCAGCUUCAAUUUAUUCUUUCAUUCUCUCAUUAUGUUAGAAUCUUCAUGUGGCCAAGGUGGCAUUUCUCCACGAUUUCCUCUAAGGAUCCCAACUUUUCAGGGGCUAUAUUAUAACUCAUCGUUAACUUUUUCAAAAUUCAAUUCAGUCCUUUUUGU